UACGAAGGGGGCUAGCGUUGUUCGGAAUCACUGGGCGUAAAGCGCACGUAGGCGGAUUGUUAAGUCGGGGGUGAAAUCCUGAGGCUCAACCUCAGAACUGCCUUCGAUACUGGCAAUCUUGAGUCCGGGAGAGGUGAGUGGAACUGCUAGUGUAGAGGUGAAAUUCGUAGAUAUUAGCAAGAACACCAGUGGCGAAGGCGGCUCACUGGCCCGGUACUGACGCUGAGGUGCGAAAGCGUGGGGAGCAAACAGG
rnacentral:rRNA from 1 species